AGAUAACAGAGAGAAUAUUACCCUGUGUGGCACCUUUGAUUCCUCCAAAGUCAUCUUCAAUCAGAGUUGGCAUUUCUCACCUCUCAGUCAACCCAAGUCCUUAAAGGAAUAAGGCAGGUCUGUGCAUUCCAAGGCAAAUGCAUAAGGAUCUGUGUGCUCAGAGAAAGUAAGCCUGCCUGCUCUGUCUGGGAGAAGUCAAAUAAGCAUCAGGGUUAGUCAUGAAAAGAAACAGGACUGGGAGUCAGAGACCACCCAGGGCUUCUCAUGGCUCUUCACUAACCAGCUAACUUCUGACCAAACUUGGGGUCUUCCCCUGGAAAGUGUGGGUGCUGAGGCCCUUUCUAUUACACAGACCUACAUCACUUAGCAUAGAUGUGUUUUUCCUGAGGCCUUGUUUUCCAGGAUUAUCCUAGAGAUGGGUAAUGAUGGGCCUUCCUAUAGUUCUUAAGCCAAAAGGGGCCUGAGCAGCGAAGCCUAUAACUGGGUAUUCAAGCAGAAUUACUAAAUGGGGAGAUCAGAGAAAGCCCAGAAGUCAGUUCAGCGCUCACGCUGCAGGGCCAUGAAGUAGGGCAGGUCUGCCCAGGUGUUCCACGGUGACUGGCAUGAGGCAGUGAUGUCAUAAAGAGUAGAGCAGAGUUAAGACUAGAAAUGAUCCAGAAAAGUGUGAGUGGGACAGGCAGGGGCUGGCUGGCUUUGGCAGCAGAGCCAUCUGCUCUGCCCUUUAUCUUUAAAGCCUCUUCUCCCACUUGAGAGGGUAGUGAGUACCGUGUUGAUCUUUCCUGAAAUACAAGUGGAUGUUUUCAAGUGCAGAAAGGGUAUCCAGUGGAAAGGGAGGGAGAAUCUAGCCCUCAUGGACCAUUUGUAAACACAAUUAUGAGACAGAAAUCUGAGAAGUAAAAUUGUUUCCAUAUUGAAAAUGAAUAUUAAUGCCCCAAAGAUCUAAGACCAGUUUCUGGAGGGAUCUCUCUCUAGCAAGCACUAAAGGUCAUAGACCAAGUUCUGCAGUCCAACCAGGAUCACAUAAUACUCAAAGGAAGAUGCUAAAGUUGCUUUGAAAUCAGUGGCUUCCUGGGUAGAGUCCUGUUAAGAGGACAGAAUUGAUCAGGGGGAUGGUCUGAGGUGUUUCUGUUAUAUAAAGGGAGGAAUGCUACCAAAUUAGUCAAAAUGAUAUGUGUUAUGUUAGUAAAUUUAGGAAAUAGGUCCUUGUCACCAAUUUAUAAGGACAGUCAUGCAAAAUGGAAAGAAGGUCUAAUGCUUGUAUGUGGUUGUCUUUUGACCUCAGGCAACGUAAGUUUGAUCAAAUUCAUCCAAAUUGGUCAGCCUCUAAGUGAAAGGAUAGUACCUGGUGGAUCUCACCAUCUGAGAGCAUCCUGCCGUGUGGUAAAAGUGUCAUCAUGAGGACCUAUGUGUGUGAAACAGGAAAUAAACCAGUCAGAUGGUGCAGGGUCUGGCCAGCCCCACCUUGGAAAGUUCUCAGGAACCACUGGAAGAAUGGGAGCCUCACCAGGAUGAGGAUGGAGCUGUGGAUCAGCCACCAGAAUGGGAGGCCUGGACAUCUCUGCACUGACUCUGAUUGUUGAUGAAGAUAAUUUGGUUCUUGAGUAAAAUCAGACUAAUUCUCCAUUUAUCGUCACUAUACAAACCAGAAAAUCUACCUAGAGCUGUGGAUGCUUGAGAAGAAAGGAUCUGAUCCAAUGGCUGGUCUUGGGGUCCAUAAGUGCUUGAUAAGGCCCCAGGGUGGUGCAGAGGUCGGGGCUGUGAUUGCACAAAGAUCUUCCCAUGACUCUGAUCUACUGUUCACGGUCUGUGUGACCAUGAUUCGGGGACUGUGUCUCUCUGUGCCUCAGUUUCCCCUAAAUAAAAUGCAGUAAAUGGC